UUCUUAUCCAGAGUGGUGGAGGGACUGGCCCGUUGAAACCCGGCAACCGCAAACGUAAUGUUUGAAGGUGCUAAAUCCUGCAAAGCCAUAAGCUUUGAAAGAUGAGAU
rnacentral:ncRNA from 2 species